rnacentral:rRNA from 1 species
GACGAACGCUGGCGGCGUGCUUAACACAUGCAAGUCGAACGGAAAGGCCCUGCUUGUAGGGUACUCGAGUGGCGAACGGGUGAGUAUCACGUGGGUGUUCUGCACUGCACUUCGGGGUAAGACUUGGAAACUGGGUCGAUUACCGCGUAGGAGACAUUUUUCGUGAGAUGGGUGGAUAGUAUUUUCGGUGUAGUAGGAGCUCGCGGCCUAUCUGCCUGUUGGUGGGGUAAUGGCCUACCAAGGCGGGGACGGGUAGCCGGCAUGAGAGGGUGGACGGCCAAAUUUGGACUGAGAUACGGCCCAGACUCCUACGGGAGGCAGCAGUGGGGAAUAUUGCACAAUGGGCACAAGCCUGAUGCCGGCACCCCGCGGGGGGGAUGACGGCCUUCGGGUUGUAAACUCCUUUUGCUAUGUACGAAACUAUUUGUGACGGUACCUAGAAAAGAAGCACCGGCUAACUACGUG